AACGAACGCUGGCGGCAGGCCUAACACAUGCAAGUCGAGCGGAUGAGUGGAGCUUGCUCCAUGAUUCAGCGGCGGACGGGUGAGUAAUGCCUAGGAAUCUGCCUGGUAGUGGGGGACAACGUUUCGAAAGGAACGCUAAUACCGCAUACGUCCUACGGGAGAAAGUGGGGGAUCUUCGGACCUCACGCUAUCAGAUGAGCCUAGGUCGGAUUAGCUAGUUGGUGAGGUAAAGGCUCACCAAGGCGACGAUCCGUAACUGGUCUGAGAGGAUGAUCAGCCACACUGGAACUGAGACACGGUCCAGACUCCUACGGGAGGCAGCAGUGGGGAAUAUUGGACAAUGGGCGAAAGCCUGAUCCAGCCAUGCCGCGUGUGUGAAGAAGGUCUUCGGAUUGUAAAGCACUUUAAGUUGGGAGGAAGGGCAGUAAGUUAAUACCUUGCUGUUUUGACGUUGCCAACAGAAUAAGCACCGGCUAACUUCGUGCCAGCCGCCGCAGUAACAC
rnacentral:rRNA from 1 species